GAGAGUAUAGUUCAGUGGUAGAGCAUUUGCUUAGCAGGCACAAGGUCCUGGGUUCAAUUCCCAGUACUGACA
rnacentral:tRNA from 1 species